CACUCCUACGGGAGGCAGCAGUGGGGAAUUUUGGACAAUGGGCGAAAGCCUGAUCCAGCAAUGCCGCGUGAGUGAAGAAGGCCUUCGGGUUGUAAAGCUCUUUUGUCAGGGAAGAAACGGUGAAAGCUAAUAUCUUUUGCUAAUGACGGUACCUGAAGAAUAAGCACCGGCUAACUACGUGCCAGCAGCCGCGGUAAUACGUAGGGUGCAAGCGUUAAUCGGAAUUACUGGGCGUAAAGCGUGCGCAGGCGGUUUUGUAAGUCUGAUGUGAAAUCCCCGGGCUCAACCUGGGAAUUGCAUUGGAGACUGCAAGGCUAGAAUCUGGCAGAGGGGGGUAGAAUUCCACGUGUAGCAGUGAAAUGCGUAGAUAUGUGGAGGAACACCGAUGGCGAAGGCAGCCCCCUGGGUCAAGAUUGACGCUCAUGCACGAAAGCGUGGGGAGCAAACAGGAUUAGAUACCCUGGUAGUCCCA
rnacentral:rRNA from 1 species